rnacentral:lncRNA from 1 species
GAAUGCACAGCAGGGGACCCUCCUCCUUCUCCCUUUUAGGUCCUCACCCCCUCCUUCRCCUUCUGUGGUAGGGCAUGCUCUCUCCUCCACCAUCAGCAUGCUGCCUGCUCCCACGCUGUUCUGCCUCCUUCUCCCUGCAACUGUCCAUCCCUGUCCCAGCAGCAAAGAGAGCACACAUGCAAGUGUCCUUCUCUUCUGGCUUUUGACUCUGCCAUGUGAAAUUGAAACUGAGAUCUAG